rfam:Theileria equi strain WA gcontig_1105316255047 apicoplast, whole genome shotgun sequence.
GGAAUUAUAGUUUAAUUUGAUUAAAAUAUUACAGUGUCGUAGUAAAGAUAUGAGUUUGAGUCUCAUUAGUUCCG